UUUUAUUUUUUUUUAUUCCUUUUACUUUAUUUAUUCAUUUAUGUAUAUACUUAUUUAUUUUAUUUUAUAUAUUUUUUUUAUAUAUUCAGUACCACAAAAACAAUUUAAAAAGCUUAAGGUUCAUUUUUUGUAAACAAGAAUUAGAUGCUUUCGAAAAAGAAAAAUUACAAGAAUUAAAAAAUUAUGUAAAUAAAUUAAAACAAACAGAAUGGGAAAAACAGAAAGAAAAAAAAGUGAAUUACAAACAUAUGAAACUAUUUUUAAAAACACGUUAUUUAAUGAUGACAAUUAUGUACUAAGGUUUCUACAAGGAAAUGAAUUUAACCAUGAAAAGUGUUUCACGGAUAUGCUAAGACAUUUGGAAUGGAGACAAGCAAAUAUUCCUGUAUUAUAUAAUGAUGUUAAAGAUAUGUUGAACAAUGGAUAUGUUUACGUUCAUGGAAGAGAUAAACAAAUGCACCCAAUAAUAAUUAUCAACUGUAAACGUUUUAUAACUGUAAAUACGAAUGAAGUCUUAAAGGUUACAUAUUACUGGCUAGAAUUUAUAAUUGCACAUUUAUUUAUCGAAGGAAAAAUUGAACAGUGGAGGGUUAUAAUUGACUUAAGUUCCUGUGGGCUUUUAAAUAUACCUAUAGGGACAUUAAAAGAUAUAUACAAAAAAUAAACUAAAAAUACGAUCACAGUGUGAUGAAACGUGUACAUAUCAAUAUAACCGUAAACAUAAAUAAGAGUAUAUAUAUAGUGAGCGAUAAAGAAGUUAGGUUAUGUACAAAAAAAAAGAUAAAAUAGUUAUAUAA
rnacentral:lncRNA from 1 species